AGAGUUUGGUCAUGGCUCAGAUUGAACGCUGGCGGCAGGCCUAACACAUGCAAGUCGAACGGUAACAGGAAGCAGCUUGCUGCUUCGCUGACGAGUGGCGGACGGGUGAGUAAUGUCUGGGAAGCUGCCUGAUGGAGGGGGAUAACUACUGGAAACGGUAGCUAAUACCGCAUAAUGUCGCAAGACCAAAGAGGGGGACCUUCGGGCCUCUUGCCAUCGGGUGUGCCCAGAUGGGAUUAGCUUGUUGGUGGGGUAACGGCUCACCAAGGCGACGAUCCCUAGCUGGUCUGAGAGGAUGACCAGCCACACUGGAACUGAGACACGGUCCAGACUCCUACGGGAGGCAGCAGUGGGGAAUAUUGCACAAUGGGCGCAAGCCUGAUGCAGCCAUGCCGCGUGUAUGAAGAAGGCCUUCGGGUUGUAAAGUACUUUCAGCGGGGAGGAAGGGAGUAAAGUUAAUACCCUUGCUCAUUGACGUUACCCGCAGAAGAAGCACCGGCUAACUCCGUGCCAGCAGCCGCGGUAAUACGGAGGGUGCAAGCGUUAAUCGGAAUUACUGGGCGUAAAGCGCACGCAGGCGGUUUGUUAAGUCAGAUGUGAAAUCCCCGGGCUCAACCUGGGAACUGCAUCUGAUACUGGCAAGCUUGAGUCUCGUAGAGGGGGGUAGAAUUCCAGGUGUAGCGGUGAAAUGCGUAGAGAUCUGGAGGAAUACCGGUGGCGAAGGCGGCCCCCUGGACGAAGACUGACGCUCAGGUGCGAAAGCGUGGGGAGCAAACAGGAUUAGAUACCCUGGUAGUCCACGCCGUAAACGAUGUCGACUUGGAGGUUGUGCCCUUGAGGCGUGGCUUCCGGAGCUAACGCGUUAAGUCGACCGCCUGGGGAGUACGGCCGCAAGGUUAAAACUCAAAUGAAUUGACGGGGGCCCGCACAAGCGGUGGAGCAUGUGGUUUAAUUCGAUGCAACGCGAAGAACCUUACCUGGUCUUGACAUCCACGGAAGUUUUCAGAGAUGAGAAUGUGCCUUCGGGAACCGUGAGACAGGUGCUGCAUGGCUGUCGUCAGCUCGUGUUGUGAAAUGUUGGGUUAAGUCCCGCAACGAGCGCAACCCUUAUCCUUUGUUGCCAGCGGUCCGGCCGGGAACUCAAAGGAGACUGCCAGUGAUAAACUGGAGGAAGGUGGGGAUGACGUCAAGUCAUCAUGGCCCUUACGACCAGGGCUACACACGUGCUACAAUGGCGCAUACAAAGAGAAGCGACCUCGCGAGAGCAAGCGGACCUCAUAAAGUGCGUCGUAGUCCGGAUUGGAGUCUGCAACUCGACUCCAUGAAGUCGGAAUCGCUAGUAAUCGUGGAUCAGAAUGCCACGGUGAAUACGUUCCCGGGCCUUGUACACACCGCCCGUCACACCAUGGGAGUGGGUUGCAAAAGAAGUAGGUAGCUUAACCUUCGGGAGGGCGCUUACCACUUUGUGAUUCAUGACUGGGGUGAAGUCGAACAAGGUA
rnacentral:rRNA from 1 species